rnacentral:tRNA from 1 species
GGGUUUAUGUUGUAAUUUUGCAUUUCUCUUUUGCAGGGAGAAAGUUUAUGAUCCA